UAAAAUUACAUAGGUUUAAGAGUGUGGAAAGUGUUUAAGUGCAUAUGAAGUGUUUAUAAGAGUGUGGGAAAGGUUAAUAGGGGGUGGGUUGGGUUUA